rnacentral:rRNA from 1 species
UAGCGGAGGAAAAGAAACUAACAAGGAUUCCCCUAGUAGCGGCGAGCGAAGCGGGAAGAGCUCAAAUUUAUAAUCUGGCACCUUCGGUGUCCGAGUUGUAAUCUCUAGAAGUGUUUUCCGCGUUGGACCGCACACAAGUCUGUUGGAAUACAGCGGCAUAGUGGUGAAACCCCCGUAUAUGGUGCGGACGCCCAGCGCUUUGUGAUACACUUUCAAUGAGUCGAGUUGUUUGGGAAUGCAGCUCAAAUUGGGUGGUAAAUUCCAUCUAAAGCUAAAUAUUGGCGAGAGACCGAUAGCGAACAAGUACCGUGAGGGAAAGAUGAAAAGCACUUUGGAAAGAGAGUUAACAGUACGUGAAAUUGUUGGAAGGGAAACGCUUGAAGUCAGACUUGCUUGCCGGAGCUUGCUUCGGUUUGCAGGCCAGCAUCAGUUUUCCGGGGUGGAUAAUGACGGUUUGAAGGUAGCAGUCUCGGCUGUGUUAUAGCUUUCCGUUGGAUACAUCCUGGGGGACUGAGGAACGCAGCGUGCUUUUUGCGAAAGACU